rnacentral:rRNA from 1 species
UGCGGACAUAUCAUAACGAAGAGGUAUCGUAAUUGAAGAGGUUUGGAAAGACCCACCACAGAAGGUAAUAGUCCUGUAUGUUAAACGAGAAGACUUCAGAUAUGAUCCAGAGUACCACGGGACACGUGAAACCCUGUGGGAAGCAGGAGGGACCACCCUCCAAGGCUAAAUACUACCUAGUGACCGAUAGCGUAUAGUACCGUGAGGGAAAGGUGAAAAGAACCCCGGGAGGGGAGUGAAAUAGAACCUGAAACCCUGCACUUACAAGCUGUGGAAGCACAUUUCUUGUGUGACCGCGUACUUUUUGUAGAACGGGCCAACGAGUUACGUUAAGUAGCAAGGUUAAGCACUUAAGGUGCGGAGCCGUAGCGAAAGCGAGUUUUAACUGAGCGUUCAGUUACUUGACGUAGACCCGAAACCGGGCGACCUACCCAUGAGCAGGAUGAAGCGAAAGUAAAAUUUCGUGGAGGUCCGAACCCACGAGCGUUGAAAAGCUCGGGGAUGACUUGUGGGUAGCGGUGAAAUUCCAAUCGAGCCCGGAGAUAGCUGGUUCUCCCCGAAAUAGCUUUAGGGCUAGCCUCAAGGUGAGAGAUACGGAGGUAGAGCACUGAAUGUCCUAGGGGGUAUUGCACCUACCGAAGACUAUCAAACUCCGAAUGCCGUCAUCUUAUACUUGGGAGUCAGACUGUGGGUGAUAAGAUUCAUAGUCGAAAGGGCAACAGCCCAGAUCGUCAGCUAAGGUCCCUAAAUGUAAGUUAAGUGGUAAAGGAUGUGGGUUUGCACAGACAACCAGGAUGUUGGCUUAGAAGCAGCCACUCAUUCAAAGAGUGCGUAAUAGCUCACUGGUCGAGUGAUCCUGCGCCGAAGAUUUCCGGGGCUAAAACUUACUACCGAAGCUACGGCAUCAGUAAUGAUGGGUAGGGGAGCUUCCCAUACGGGUUGAAGCAUGACCGUAAGGACAUGUGGACAGUAUGGGAGUGAGAAUGUUGGCAUGAGUAGCGAGAUGUGGGUGAGAAUCCCACAGGCCGUAAACCCAAGGUUUCCAGGGGAAGGUUCGUCCGCCCUGGGUUAGUCGGGACCUAAGCUGAGGCCGAAAGGCGUAGGUGAUGGACAACAGGUUGAUAUUCCUGUACUACCGAUAACCGUUUGAGAGAAGGGAUGACACAGUAGGAUAAGCUAAGCACACUGUUGGUUAUGUGUGCCCAAGCAUUGAGGCAGUCAAAGUAGGCAAAUCCGCUUUGAUAAU